rnacentral:misc_RNA from 1 species
AGCAGCCGCGGUAAUUCCAGCUCCAAUAGCGUAUAUUAAAGUUGUUGCAGUUAAAAAGCUCGUAGUUGAAUUUCGGGAUCAAUGCGUUGGUCGUGCUUUCGGGUACGCACUGGCGUCAUUGGUUUCUCCUUUCUGACGAGCCGUGAUGUCAUUAGUUUGGUGUUACGGGUAGUUAGGACUGUUACUUUGAAAAAAUUAGAGUGUUUAAAGCAGGCAUUAGCUUGAAUACAUUAGCAUGGAAUAAUGAAAUAGGACGUUCGAUCCUAUUUUGUUGGUUUCUAGGAUCAACGUAAUGAUUAAUAGGGAUAGUUGGGGGCAUUAGUAUUCAAUUGUCAGAGGUGAAAUUCUUGGAUUAUUGAAGACUAACUACUGCGAAAGCAUUUGCCAAGG